GGAGUUGUAGCUCAGGGGUAGAGCACUUGCCUCACAUGCAUGAGGCCCUGGGUUCAAUCCUCAGCACCA
rnacentral:tRNA from 1 species